rnacentral:rRNA from 1 species
GGGCAUGGGGGGUCUAUCAUGCAGUCGACGACUCUGGUAAUGAUUGGUGCUUGCAUCAUGAAUUACAUUUGAGUGAGUGGCGAACUGGUGAGUAACACGUGGGAAACCUGCCCAGAAGCGGGGGAUAACACCUGGAAACAGAUGCUAAUACCGCAUAACAACUUGGACCGCAUGGUCCGAGUUUGAAAGAUGGCUUCGGCUAUCACUUUUGGAUGGUCCCGCGGCGUAUUAGCUAGAUGGUGAGGUAACGGCUCACCAUGGCAAUGAUACGUAGCCGACCUGAGAGGGUAAUCGGCCACAUUGGGACUGAGACACGGCCCAAACUCCUACGGGAGGCAGCAGUAGGGAAUCUUCCACAAUGGACGAAAGUCUGAUGGAGCAACGCCGCGUGAGUGAAGAAGGGUUUCGGCUCGUAAAACUCUGUUGUUAAAGAAGAACAUAUCUGAGAGUAACUGUUCAGGUAUUGACGGUAUUUAACCAGAAAGCCACGGCUAACUACGUGCCAGCAGCCGCGGUAAUACGUAGGUGGCAAGCGUUGUCCGGAUUUAUUGGGCGUAAAGCGAGCGCAGGCGGUUUUUUAAGUCUGAUGUGAAAGCCUUCGGCUCAACCGAAGAAGUGCAUCGGAAACUGGGAAACUUGAGUGCAGAAGAGGACAGUGGAACUCCAUGUGUAGCGGUGAAAUGCGUAGAUAUAUGGAAGAACACCAGUGGCGAAGGCGGCUGUCUGGUCUGUAACUGACGCUGAGGCUCGAAAGUAUGGGUAGCAAACAGGAUUAGAUACCCUGGUAGUCCAUACCGUAAACGAUGAAUGCUAAGUGUUGGAGGGUUUCCGCCCUUCAGUGCUGCAGCUAACGCAUUAAGCAUUCCGCCUGGGGAGUACGGGCCGCAAGGCUGAAACUCAAAGGAAUUGACGGGGGCCCGCACAAGCGGUGGAGCAUGUGGUUUAAUUCGAAGCUACGCGAAGAACCCUUACCAGGUCUUGACAUACUAUGCAAAUCUAAGAGAUUAGACGUUCCCUUUCGGGGACAUGGAUACAGGUGGUGCAUGAUUGUCGUCAGCUCGUGUCGUGAGAUGUUGGGAUAGUCCCGCACGAGCGCACCCUUAAUAAUCAGUGCAGCAUAGUGGGCACUCUGUUGAGACUGGCGUGACUAGCCGGAGCAGCUGAGAUGACGUCCAAUUCAUUCAUGCCCCUUAUUGAACCUUG